UACGGGGGGGGCAAGCGUUGUUCGGAAUUACUGGGCGUAAAGGGCUCGUAGGCGGCCAACUAAGUCAGACGUGAAAUCCCCAGGCUUAACCUGGGAACUGCGUCUGAUACUGGAUGGCUUGAAUUCGGGAGAGGGAUGCAGAAUUCCAGGUGUAGCGGUGAAAUGCGUAGAUAUCUGGAGGAACACCGGUGGCGAAGGCGGCGUUCUGGACUGCAACUGACACUGAGAAACGAAAGCCAGGGUAGCAAACGGG
rnacentral:rRNA from 1 species